rnacentral:lncRNA from 1 species
UCCAUUCGAAGCUUUCGGUGAUAUUGGUCCAAUAACAUCCAUGCCCCACAUGGAAAAGGGCCAUGGAGAAGUCAUAACAUGCAAAGGUAAAGGUGGAACAUGAAUUUUGUCCCCAUAAAUCUGACAUUUAUGGCACUUCUUAGUGUAGUUAAUACAGUCUCCUUCCAUAGUAGCCCAAUAAUAGCCAAACCUCAUGAUUUGCCUCGCCAUCGUGAACCCAUUUGCAUGUGUCCGGC